ACACGACUACAUUAGAUACCCCUGUAGUCCUAGCCGUAAACGAUACUCGCUAGGUGUCGGCCACGGUGCGACCGUUGUCGGUGCCGUAGGGAAGCCGUGAAGCGAGCCACCUGGGAAGUACGGCCGCAAGGCUGAAACUUAAAGGAAUUGGCGGGGAGCACCACAACGGGUGGAGCUUGCGGUUUAAUUGGAUUCGACGCCGGAAAUCUUACCGGGACCGACAGCAACAUGAAGGCCAGGCUGAAGACUUUGCCGGAUUAGCUG
rnacentral:rRNA from 1 species